AGACGAACCAUCCGAACGUUAUUCGGAAUUAUUGGGCUUAAAGGGUGCGUAGGCGGCCCUGAAAGUUGGGUGUGAAAUCCCUCGGCUCAACCGAGGAACUGCGCCCAAAACUACAGGGCUCGAGGGAGACAGAGGUGAGCGGAACUUGCGGUGGAGCGGUGAAAUGCGUUGAUAUCGCAAGGAACACCAGUGGCGAAAGCGGCUCACUGGGUCUUUUCUGACGCUGAGGCACGAAAGCUAGGGGAGCGAACGGGAUUAGAUACCCCGGUAGUCCUAGCCGUAAACGAUGAGCACUGGGUCGGAGGGUUCUCCAUAGCUUUCCGGCCGUAGCGAAAGUGUUAAGUGCUCCGCCUGGGGAGUAUGGUCGCAAGGCUGAA
rnacentral:rRNA from 1 species